GCCCAAGUAGCUCAGUCGGCAGAGCAUCUCACUCGUAAUGAGAAGGUCAAGGGUUCGAUUCCCUUCUUGGGCU
rnacentral:tRNA from 1 species